UACGGAGGAUGCAAGCGUUAUCCGGAAUGAUUGGGCGUAAAGCGUCCGCAGGUGGCAAUGUAAGUCUGCUGUUAAAGAGUCUAGCUCAACUAGAUAAAAGCAGUGGAAACUACAUAGCUAGAGUACGUUCGGGGCAGAGGGAAUUCCUGGUGUAGCGGUGAAAUGCGUAGAUAUCAGGAGGAACACCUGUGGUGUAGACGGCUUACUGGACCAUGACUGACGCUGAGGCACGAAAGCGUGGGGAGCAAACAGG
rnacentral:rRNA from 1 species